GAUCUUUUCAUUUAAAAUAAGCUAGGCCUUAAGAGAUUCAGUCCGCUAGUUCCUCCCUUCACAGUGUUUUAAACUAUCUACGUCGACGAGCAUCUCUAUGCAACAAACCAAAGCUUAGACUUCCACUCACCUUUGAGUUGUUUUGUAGCAUUAUUGUAAACUAUUAAUAAGACACAUUAGCCCCUAGCUAACGGGUCUGACCCUUUAGCCGAGCGGUUAGUGAUGUCGCCUUGUGGCGCAGUAUGCCCCGUAUCGAAUCCCGCACCGGGCAAGAAAAUAAUCGGUUACAUUAUGAUUAGCCUAGCAUGCUGACCCACAAGCAUGUUGGAAGCUUAGCUCCUAGCCCCUGCCCCCUAUACCAGCCUUACAUUGAAGUGAGUCGAUGUUAUUUAUUCUGGUGAUGUUAUGUUAAAAGAGGGAUGUUACGACCCUGACAGAUCCUCUGGUUCCCAGAAUCAUGGGUAUUUUCAGUGAGUUCUGUUAUUCCCUAAACUGUAUCUGUCUUAAGACCCUGUUUCCUUCUCUUGCUUGUCAGUUAAUAGAAUAGAACAAAAAUAACAAUAUCUGCAUAUUUUUUAUGUUGUUGUCAAAUUUCACUUUAUCUGAAGGCUAAAAAGAAGAUUUACUCAUGUAGAAGUGCAUGCUUGGGUAACAGAUAAAUCAAAAAGUGAAAGACAGCCACACACUAAAGGGUCCUGGUGAAUUAACACUGAUUAGCCAAACAUUAUGACCGCCUGCCUAAUAUGCUGUAUGUCUCCCGCGUGCCGCCAAAAAAUUGCUGACCCAUCGAGCCAUGGACUCUACACUCAGGAAUCAGGAACAAUUUAUUGUCAUUUCUUUCAUGUACUCACGUAUGCAAAAGAAACGAAAUUGCGGUUCCCCAGCCAGCCAGCCACAAAAGACAAACACACACAUCCCAAAUAUGACACCACCAAAAGCGGAGAGAACAAAGAAGAAAAAAAAAACACACAAACAGUUAACAACACAGUCCACUCAGUGCAACACAGUCAAAAAAUUCCACUGUCCAGAGAACGAACGACAGCCAGGAUGACUGUCGGAACUGCCGGCCUGCAUGGGCUAGCAGUUAGCUUAGCCUGUCCCGCUUCCGCGUCCUGUCAGACCACCCUCGGUGUUUCCUCCGUGGGCGCAGCUCCGGCAGGGCUGUGGUCCCUGGGCCCACCGGACGCAGCAGACCAGGCUCCCCCAGCCAAUCCAACUCCAGCUCUCCCAGCCUUCAAACGAAGACAAAAUAAACUUAGACACAGACGUGGACAAAGACACUGCAUGGACGGUACUGGGUGAGGCUGCCGCAAAUCACAUUCUACAGAUGCUCAAUUGGAUUGAGAUUUGGAGAACUUGGAGGCUAGGGACGCACCUUGAACACUUUAUCAUGUUCCUCAAACCAGUCCCGACCAGUAAGUGCAGUGUGGUAAGGCUCAUUAUCCUGCUGAAAGAGGCCGCUGCCAUCAGGGAAUCAUUGCCAUGAAAGGAUGUACCUGGUCUGCAAUGAUGUUUAGUGCAUCAUGGUGCCAUCACUUCACCAGGUAAAUGGCACACGCGUACACGGCCAUCCACGUGACCUAAAACAAAACAGGACUCAUCAGACCAGGUCACCUUCUUCCACUCCUCCAAGGUCCAGUUCUGACGCUGACAUGCCCAUUGUAGGCACUUUCAAUGGUGGACAGAGGUCAUCAUGGGCACACUGACCAUUCUGCAGCUAUGCAGCCCCAUACGCAGCAGGGUGCAAUGCACUGUAUGUUGUGACACGUUCCUAUUAAAAUGUUAUUAUUAUUAUUAUCCUUAUUAAAAUUUUCUGUGACUUGUGCUACAGUAGACCUUCUGUUGGUUUGGGCCAGGCGGGAUAACCUUCAUUGCCCUCGCAUAUCUUUGAGCCUUGUGUGCCCAACACCCUGUCACCAGUUUGUGGUUUGUCCCUCCUCGGCCCACUGUUGCUAGUUACUUUCCACUGCUGAUCGGGAGUACCCUACAAGUCUUAGCAUUUCAGAGAUGCUCUGACCCAGUCGUCUGGCCAUAACUAUUUGGCCCUUGUUAAAGUCGCUCAGGUCUUUACUCCUGCCCAUUUCUCCUGCAUCAAACAUGACUAUGAGAACUGAUUGUUCACUUACCAUCCAGUUUACCCAGACGUGGACAUGUGCCCUUGUUUG